GGACGUGAAACCGGUGAGGUGGAAACAGAUAGAGUCGGCGUAUCUUGCAAAUAUUCAUUUACGUUAUUUUUGUACUUUUGCCUUGACCCUCAGAUUUUGGGGGCAUGGAGUGAUUAGUGCAAUUAUUUUGUAAUGCAUUUGUUUGCUCGGUGCGUGGGAAUUUCUGAUACAGAUUUGUGACCGCCGUUUUGAGGCCGGCUUGCUGGUACCCAAACGGUGUUAGCAUCUUUUGUCUUAGAGAUGUUUUUGAGUAUGGCCUCAAUACGGGCAUUUUCAGGUUCGAUCUGGUUUUAAGUUACAGUCGCGUGCGACAUGUGCUUUUUAAUCAGUUCGGUCAAGUUAAUGCUCUCGUACUCUUAUCCCAUGUAAAAGCCGGUCAUCUAUCUGACCCGUCUUGAAACACGGACCAAGGAGUUUAUCGUGUGCGCGAGUUCUUGGGUGUUAAAAACCUAAAAGCGAAAUGAAAGUAAAUGUUUUUUACGAACUGAUGUGCGAUCUUUUUUUUUAAAAAAGCUCAGCAUGGCCCCAUCCUAAUUGUUUACAAUAGGGUGGAGGAAGAGCGUACGCGGUGAGACCCGAAAGAUGGUGAACUAUUCCUGAGCAGGACGAAGCCAGGGGAAACUCUGGUGGAAGUCCGAAGCGGUUCUGACGUGCAAAUCGAUCGUCUGACUG
rnacentral:rRNA from 1 species